UGAAUUACCAGGUGUUUUCUUUAUUUUGUACAUUCUAAAUUGUCAAUGUUUGUUUAAUUUAACCUGAAGGGGCAUUAAAAACAAAUAAUCGCAAAAGUGCCCUCUGGUGGCGUAUAUAUGCGUUGCACCAUAAGCGAAGAUGAGCCUCGUGACGUGACAGUUUUUUUUUCAAACUGAGGUGAGGAGUUCGGACUCCGGACCGGCAUUUCUGCUUGUUUGUACCCUGAGAUAACCAUGGUUAAUAAAUGAUCAGACACGUUACUGGCUUUAAAAUAUAAACCCCAUUGAUGCAAAAAGAUGCUGCAUGGAAUGACAAUGAGGUUUGGAACAGACUUGGUGAAGAACAUGGAAACAUCUCUAAAUAAAAUGGCCCCAAACAUCAUCAGGAGUGCAAAAGAAGGAAGUAAAAAACAUCUCUACGCCAAUCUCAUUGGAGAGGAAACCACAGAAGGUCUGGUGAGGAAUGAUGCACUUGUGUUAUUGCCAGCAUUAUUUCAAGAAAAUCCCAGCUUCCUUGACUGUGUAAAUAGUGUAGGAACCCAAAGGUCCCACACCAACCAAAGUGUUCAACGGCUCUCCUGAUCUUCUCAAAUCUGAAAGUAUCAACUUUAUAAUGGACAAUGUGAACUUAAUAUGUGGAAGACAUUGACAUCACAGGCUGUGGAAUGACUGUGUCACAGGUCGGAGAAGCGGACCGCCCCUGUCGCGGAUCACGCUCCUCCUAGUUCCACCUCGAGGAGGUCCCAAAGCACCCCAAUGACCAGACAAACCAGAGAUAAGUAAAAUAUAAAAAUAGAAACUUUAUUUAAAUUAUUUAAAACUAAAGUGGGGAAUGGGAAAGGGAAUCUAAAAAUCUCGCUUCUCGCCCUCAGGGGGAGUAUUACGGGGCCAGGGACGUUGGAGGGGUUUCCACGUGACUCCAGCUGGAACACCGCUACAGAGCGUAUCUGGGUGGGUUGGGCACACAUCGUCGCGACGGCCCCUGAUGGCAUCCACAAAGGUCCAAGACCCUCCUAAGCUCCCAGCCGUAGCAGAACUACGUAUUUCAGCACCCGAACGACUAACAUCCCAGCCGGCAUCUGCAGCGUAUAUCCAACGCGAUCAAACUUCACUCUGACAAGUAACUUCCUAUACACAACCACGCCGUCCUUUCGCCCAGACCAGCCCCGCACUCUUUCCGCCCGCUACCUAGCGGUCGCCGGAUCAGCAGAGCCUGCGGACUCUUCGGACUCUGCGACCCUUCCAGUAACUUCUACCUUCUCUCUUUAUAUCCUCCUCCAUGGCGUGGCUCGCCCAACCAUCGCUCGCCACGUCACUCACACAGCUGUGCCUUGUUUCAGUGAGUGCGGGGAUUCCCGAGGAACCCGGAAGUGCCGGUGUCUGUACAAACCGGUCCGGGCGGAACCUCUUCACUCUCCUUUUGGUUCCGCCCCGCAUAGUCACUCCGUGACAACUGUUUGCGUUUUUUUUUCUCCUCAAUGUUCAAUACCCUUUUGCCAUUAAGCACACAGUGACAUUAAUUUAUAAAAUAUAUGCUUAAGUUUUAAUACCUGUACAAAACAAAUGUACAAUCAACUUGUGUAAAUUGUCAUUUUAUUUAAUAGAUUGUUCAUGAAUUGUCUUUAAAUGCAUUGUGAUUUCGGUAACACUUUACAAUAAGGUUCAUUAGUUAACAUUAGUUAAUGUAUUAACUAACUUGAACAAACCAUGAGCAAUACAUUUGUUACAGUAUUUAUUCAUCUUUGUUAAUGUUAGUUAAUAAAAAUUUAAGCUUUAAUUGCUUGUUCAUGUUAGUUCAGAGUGCAUUAACUAAUGUUAACAAGAUUUUAAUAAAGUAUAAGUAAUUGUUGAAAUUAACAUUAACAAAGAUUAAUAAAGGCUGUAUAAGUGCAGUUCAUUAUUAGUUCAUGUUAACUAAUGUAGCUAACUAAUGUUAACUAAUGAACCUUAUUGUAAAGUGUUACCGUGAUUUCUUUUCAUCAUUUCAGACACAUGUAAAAGUUACAAAAAAUUUGUACUGCAUAUACUGUACAGUAUCUAUGCGUAAGGGAAAUAACUUGAACAAAAUGUUUUAUGUAUAGUGUAAUUAAGAGAUUUAGCUGUUUAAUACAGAGAUGCUAUAUAUAUAUAUA